GGGCUCACCUUGGCAGCACAUAUAUUAAAAUUGAAAUGAUACAGAGAAGAUUAACACGGCCCCUGUACAAGGAUGACAUGCAAAUUGGUCAAGUGUUCCAUAUUAGG